UACAGAGGGUGCGAGCGUUAAUCGGAAUUACUGGGCGUAAAGCGCACGUAGUCGGCUUUGCAAGUCGGGUGUGAAAUCCCCCGGGCUCAACCUGGGGAACUGCAUCCGAGACUGCAUUGCUAGAGUAUGGGAGAGGGAAGCGGAAUUUCUGGUGUAGCAGUGAAAUGCGUAGAUAUCAGAAGGAACAUCAGUGGCGAAGGCGGCUUCCUGGACCAAUACUGACGAUCAGGUGCGAAAGCGUGGGGAGCAAACAGG
rnacentral:rRNA from 1 species